rnacentral:rRNA from 1 species
GACGAACGCUGGCGGCGUGCUUAACACAUGCAAGUCGAACGGAAAGACCCUGCGUUUGUGGGGUGCUCGAGUGGCGAACGGGUGAGUAACACGUGAGUAACCUGCCCUUGACUUUGGGAUAACUUCAGGAAACUGGGGCUAAUACAGGAUAGGAGCUCCUGCUGCAUGGGGGGGGUUGGAAAGUUUCGGCCGUGUGGGAUGGACUCGCGGCUUAUCAGCUGGUUGGUGGGGUAGGGGUUGACCAAGGCUUUGACGGGUAGGCCGCCUGGGAGGGUGGCCAGGCUCCAUGGGCCUACGAUACGGCCCAGUAUCGUACGUGAGGCAACAGUGGGGAACAUUGCGCAAUGGGGGGAAGCGUGAUGCAGCAACGCUCCGUGCGUAAUGCCGGCCUUCGGGUUAUGAACCGAUUUCGAAUGUGCCGAAGCGUGAGUGACGGUAACGGGUAAAAAAGCACCGGCUAACUACGUG